AUUCCCCUAGGUGACUGAGCUCCUUGAGGGCUCUGGUCUCACUGGGCUUUGCAUCUCUAGGGCUUAGAGUAGGUCAGGUGCUCAACAAAUGUUUGUUGGCUAAACAGAAAGGAAGCUGCCUGGUAGGUCCCUAAGAUAAGGGAACUUGCACCUUAAGGUUAAGAAAAGGGUGGAAUAUGGAUGGCCAGAGCCAAUUCCUUCCGUCUUUCUUCUCUCCCACAGACAGACCUGAAGGACAAAAGCCGGACAAGUGCAGAUACUGCCAUAGGGGGCCUGAAGACACAGGAAGGUUUUUUUCAAUCUGGGUUCUCAAUGGGGUCUCUAAAAAGAAGUGACAUUUCUUUUUAGGCUUUAUUUUGCAUGUACUUCUUCUUCUUCUUCUUUAAGACCUGGGGUAAGCCUGGUCUACAACUUGCUUCACCCACGUCCUGAGGCAAAAAUAACUUCGAGAAUAUUCUGGGCAUAUUCACAGAAUUCAUUGACAUCUCUUUAGCUCUGCCUACAGUUAGUUCUCUUGAUUACCAGCCAGAAAUUAGUCUUUGCAGAUUGUACAGAAAUGAAGUGCCCAGUCGUAGCCUUCAGCAUUUAGAAACAAAUAUUGGCAAUUCUGCUAAGAUGUCUAUCUGGGCCAGGAUGACACAUCAGCUGGCCAAAAUGCAGGUCGCUUCUUUAGGGCUAAUUUUGGCUAACUAAAAGAGCCACAAGAUUCCUUUUUCUCUCCAAUUAUAACAGGGGCACAUGUAGAAAAUUUUGAAAAUACAAAGAAUAAAGGAGGAAAUAAAAUUCAGCUCUGAAAUUUCACUGAUGGGAUAUGGCUACUGCGAACAUUUUGGUGCAUUUUCUUUUUAUAUUUGUAUAUAUACCCAAAUACUUUCAUUUCCUAUAUGAAUAUGAAUUUAAAAACUAGAAUACUUUAUGAGUCUAAAAUCAUAUUCAUACUUUAUGUGUAGUCUCAUAAAGUUGCUUUUUCACACAAUAUUAUCUCCUGGCUGGUCUUCGCAUGCCAUUACACAUUCUUCAAAAACCAGAGCAUUCCCCUGUAUCUGCCAAGGUUUAACUUUAUGCCUCACCCCAAGUAUGGGAGGUUGGGCCCUGCUUUGCUAAACCAUGACUUGCUUUCUUAUAUUAAUAGCAUUCUGGGUUCUCUGUGGACUUCACACACUGCAGCCUGACACAGUGGUCACUGGUCUUCAUGGAACCACAGCCCAUCCAGAGGGACUGGCCUGCACAGGAGAAAGAAUUGCCAGAGUUCAGCCUCUCUCCAGCUCCUCAACAGUAAAAGCUCCAGUGGAAGCUGUAGGGAACUCUUCACUAACUCUCACUCUGUCACCCAGGUUGGAGUGUAGAGGUGUGAUCUUGGCUCACUGCAACCUUCACCUCCUGGGUUCAAGAGAUUCUCCUGCCUCAGCCUCCCAAGUAGCUGGGAUUACAGGCGCCCGCCACCAUGCCUGGCUAAUUUUUUGUAGAGACAUGGUUUCACCAUGUUGGCCAGGCUGGUCACGAACUCCUGACCUCAAGUGAUUGACCCGCCUUGGCCUCCCAAAUUGCUGGGAUUAUAGGCAUGAGCCACCGCGCCUGGCCUCUUCACUAACUUGUGAGGCACUGGACAUGGGUCACUCACCAGAUUCAAACCUUUUGAAUUUGAACCCUUGUUUAAAUCCUUCUCAAAUGGAUUUGUCCAUUUCCUUAAUUUAGUCAGUACAGCAAAUAUAAAUGGCUUUUCCUUUACUUACUGCAAAUGCUUACCUGAUACUCCAAGUUCACUAUUCUGAAUUGAAUUAGUUGUCAUGCCUCCAAACUGACCACGUGUUCACACAGACUAAACGUUCAGCUUCCAGCCUGAGUGCCCCUCCUCUUGGAGAGCCCAUCCUGCUGGCUGCUGGUGCAGUGCCCGGGUGGCAUGGAUCUGAUUUUGUUGUAACCAUUUGCUUGUGUCCCUUCAUCUCCUGCAGGACCAUAAGCUCGUGGAGAGCAGGGAUGUGUGUCUGCUGCAUGGCAGGCACUCUGUCAAUACAGCAAUGCAUUUUAUAUGGAAUCUGACUUUUUUCUCAGAUAUGGAAGAACGCAGCGACAGAUACGUUGUAAACCAAAAACUGGGAUAUAAUUCGUCACGCUGGGUUUGACACGAAUACAAGAAUCACUAUUAACUGCUUCUGCUACUCUCCUCAACCUCAGCAGCUAAGAGUUAUUAAACACCAUGUGCUGGAAAUGGGUUGUGUGUCACCUUGUUUAAUCCUUAUAAUCACCAUAGGAGGUAUCCAAUUAUAAUCUCUAUUUCUCUAUUUUACAGAUUAGGAAUCUGAAGAUUAGAGGCUUUUUUUUUUUCAGAGUCUUGCUCCAUCACCCAGGCUGUAGUGCAGUGGCACCAUCUUGGCUCACUGUAACCUCUGCCUCCCAGGUUCGAUUGAUUCUCCUGCCUCAGCCUCCCGAGUAGCUGAGAUUACAGUAUCACAGUCAAAUAGGUUGAAGGCUGUUUUCAGGUGGAGAAAAUGAGAAACAGAAUGAGAGAUCACCUGCUUCCAUGAAAUUAAUUCAGUCAGAGGUGAACUAACGUCAACAACAGCAAGAAUUCUUUUGCAUCUUUAAGUUCUCACUUUGUGGGACAACCUCUGAAACCAGAAAAAGGGUCAGGCUGUUAACUGACGUCAGUAGGCGAAGAGAAGGAGGUGAAGGAACAAACACUGAACACCUGUUAUUUAUGAAGCACUCUACAUAUGUUCCUUCAUUUCACUCCUGGUGAAAACCUGCAAGGUACAAACUGUUGUCUCUGUUCUCUAGCUAUGAAAAUUGGGACUCGGAAAAGUCCAGCAACUUCUCUCAGCCCAGGGAGUAGAGAGAGAGCUGAUUUGGGAUAUGAACUUUGGUAUUCUGUCUUUCUAUGACAUCAACCUAUAGAGAAAGGUGUUUCAUGCAAACCAAAAUAGACGUGAUAGGAUGAAAUUUGACUGUAUAAAGAAACAAUCAAAUUUUACAAGAAUGGCAAGUUAUGUUUAAGGCACCAGAAACCUAACACUGCAUGUCCUUGUAAACUCUGAAUGAAAUGGAUUUAAUCGACACUUUAAUCCCAUGCAAACAAACACUUUCAGAGAUAUUCAGGGUAGCCUUGCAGGGCUGGGCUUUGUGGUCUGUACUGUUACCACACACUGCUUUUGUAUUACUCUCCUCAUGCCUCCCCAAAUGGAAGGGAUUUUUGUUAAAGGCUCAUGAGCAUUCUUUCUCAUUUUCAAUCUUGAAAAACCAAAAGGGGUGAGGAACAUGUAGCAUGAUAUAAAUGCUCUGAGCAUGAGCUGCCUGACUCACAGACCUUAGGCUGGUAUAGAUUUUGGAUUACGGUUGGCCUUGGCCUAUGGGGGUUCACAAGAACUGGAAAACAUUACUUCAGGCAGUCUUCUACCCAUGACACUGAACUAGGAGCAGGCCUCUCAUGAAUAUAUUAUCGGCAAUUCCUGAUUCUUUAAAUAUGUAUAUUUCAAACCCAGUAAGCAGAGCAGAAUCAUCGAACUAAAGUGGCAUUUUCAAAUUCUUCUGAUUAUAAAUUAUUAAUGUACUCUAUCAGCGAUAACCUCAAGCAAUCUGUACCACCUUGAGGGCAUAUCAAUCUUAAAAAAACACUUGUUGUUUCUUUUAAUCAUUUUCCAAGUUUGUAAUAUAUGAGCUAUCUUUUAGGUUUAAUGACAAGUAUGGCUAUAACUGGAAUUCCAUAAGGAUGUCAUUACAAGACUAACUUU